CAUGUGGCCAGCUGCACUGCUCCAUGGCAUCUUCAUUCUGAAACCCAGGCUGGGGCAUCAGUCUCUGUCUAGGACAUUUCUGUUCAUGAUGGCAACUGGCAAGGGGAGAAUUAGCAGAUAAAGAUUCUGCUUGGACGUGAUACUUGUCAUUUCUAUUCACAUAUCAUAAAGUUCUACACAUCAUUCCAUUCACAUUAUGACCAAAGCAUAAUGACACGGUCAUUGUCCAUGGUCCAUGGUCAUGGCCACCAUCAAAUGGGACAGAGGAAUACAACCCUGCUCAGGGAAACAGAAGAUAUUUAUGAAUAAUAAUAUGAUCUCCUACAGCAGAAAAAGCUUCCUGGCAAAGAAACAAUGGAUGUGGGUCUUGAAAGGAAACCCCAUUUUGCCAAUGGCACCCAGAGCUCAAAAAUGCAACCCAAGCAGUCCAAGUGAGCCGCAUCCCCAUCUCCACCCAGCGGAGCACGGAGGAGCCGGCCGGAAUUUCGCUGAAAUUAAAGUACAAAACAAUAAAAAGAAACAAACCAUAACAGUGAAGAAACUGGUAGAGAGUUACAGACCAAAUGACAAAUGAAUGAGAUAGAUUUCUAGAAGACAGAAGGUAGAUGGAAGCUUGUUGCUGGGACACCUCUCCAUAUUUCACAUCCACAUCCAUUUACCUCCUGGGUGUGGAUGCCCAGCAAAUAUCUCUAUGCUAAAAAAUGUACGGGCUCAGUUGAUAAAGAAAUGCAAAUCAAGACCACAAUGAGGUAUCAU